UACGUAGGGUGCGAGCGUUAAUCGGAAUUACUGGGCGUAAAGCGUGCGCAGGCGGUUUUGUAAGCCAGAUGUGAAAUCCCCGGGCUCAACCUGGGAACUGCAUUUGUGACUGCAUCGCUGGAGUGCGGCAGAGGGGGAUGGAAUUCCGCGUGUAGCAGUGAAAUUCGUAGAUAUUCGGAGGAACACCAGAGGCGAAGGCGGCCAACUGGUCCGGUACUGACGCUGAGGCGCGAAAGCGUGGGGAGCAAACAGG
rnacentral:rRNA from 1 species